GAUGAAGAACGUAGCGAAAUGCGAUAAGUAGUGUGAAUUGCAGAAUUCAGUGAAUCAUCGAAUCUUUGAACGCACAUUGCGCCCCAUGGUAUUCCGUGGGGCAUGCCUGUUCGAGCAUCAUUUACCCCCUCAAGCUCCGCUUGGUGUUGGGCGUCUGUCCCGCUUCGCGCGCGGACUCGCCCCAAAGGUAUUGGCAGCGGUCGUGCCAGCUUCUCGCGCAGCACAUUGCGCUUCUCGAGGCACCGGUGGGCCCGCGUCCAUCAAGCUCACCCCCCCAGUUUGACCUCGGAUCAGGUAGGGAUACCCGCUGAACUUAAGCAUAUCAAUAAGCGGAGGA
rnacentral:misc_RNA from 1 species